GGGCUAGCCUCAAGUGAUGAUUAUUGGAGGUAGAGCACUGUUUGGACGAGGGGCCCCUCUCGGGUUACCGAAUUCAGACAAACUCCGAAUGCCAAUUAAUUUAACUUGGGAGUCAGAACAUGGGUGAUAAGGUCCGUGUUCGAAAGGGAAACAGCCCAGACCACCAGCUAAGGUCCCAAAAUAUAUGUUAAGUGGAAAAGGAUGUGGCGUUGCCCAGACAACUAGGAUGUUGGCUUAGAAGCAGCCAUCAUUUAAAGAGUGCGUAAUAGCUCACUAGUCGAGUGACACUGCGCCGAAAAUGUACCGGGGCUAAACAUAUUACCGAAGCUGUGGAUUGUCCUUUGGACAAUGGUAGGAGAGCGUUCUAAGGGCGUUGAAGCAUGAUCGUAAGGACAUGUGGAGCGCUUAGAAGUGAGAAUGCCGGUGUGAGUAGCGAAAGACGGGUGAGAAUCCCGUCCACCGAUUGACUAAGGUUUCCAGAGGAAGGCUCGUCCGCUCUGGGUUAGUCGGGUCCUAAGCUGAGGCCGACAGGCGUAGGCGAUGGAUAACAGGUUGAUAUUCCUGUACCACCUAUAAUCGUUUUAAUCGAUGGGGGGACGCAGUAGGAUAGGCGAAGCGUGCGAUUGGAUUGCACGUCUAAGCAGUAAGGCUGAGUAUUAGGCAAAUCCGGUACUCAUUAAGGCUGAGCUGUGAUGGGGAGAAGACAUUGUGUCUUCGAGUCGUUGAUUUCACACUGCCGAGAAAAGCCUCUAGAUAGAAAAUAGGUGCCCGUACCGCAAACCGACACAGGUAGUCAAGAUGAGAAUUCUAAGGUGAGCGAGCGAACUCUCGUUAAGGAACUCGGCAAAAUGACCCCGUAACUUCGGGAGAAGGGGUGCUCUUUAGGGUUAACGCCCAGAAGAGCCGCAGUGAAUAGGCCCAAGCGACUGUUUAUCAAAAACACAGGUCUCUGCUAAACCGUAAGGUGAUGUAUAGGGGCUGACGCCUGCCCGGUGCUGGAAGGUUAAGAGGAGUGGUUAGCUUCUGCGAAGCUACGAAUCGAAGCCCCAGUAAACGGCGGCCGUAACUAUAACGGUCCUAAGGUAGCGAAAUUCCUUGUCGGGUAAGUUCCGACCCGCACGAAAGGCGUAACGAUUUGGGCACUGUCUCAACGAGAGACUCGGUGAAAUCAUAGUACCUGUGAAGAUGCAGGUUACCCGCGACAGGACGGAAAGACCCCGUGGAGCUUUACUGUAGCCUGAUAUUGAAAUUCGGCACAGCUUGUACAGGAUAGGUAGGAGCCUUUGAAACGUGAGCGCUAGCUUACGUGGAGGCGCUGGUGGGAUACUACCCUAGCUGUGUUGGCUUUCUAACCCGCACCACUUAUCGUGGUGGGAGACAGUGUCAGGCGGGCAGUUUGACUGGGGCGGUCGCCUCCUAAAAGGUAACGGAGGCGCUCAAAGGUUCCCUCAGAAUGGUUGGAAAUCAUUCAUAGAGUGUAAAGGCAUAAGGGAGCUUGACUGCGAGACCUACAAGUCGAGCAGGGUCGAAAGACGGACUUAGUGAUCCGGUGGUUCCGCAUGGAAGGGCCAUCGCUCAACGGAUAAAAGCUACCCCGGGGAUAACAGGCUUAUCUCCCCCAAGAGUUCACAUCGACGGGGAGGUUUGGCACCUCGAUGUCGGCUCAUCGCAUCCUGGGGCUGUAGUCGGUCCCAAGGGUUGGGCUGUUCGCCCAUUAAAGCGGUACGCGAGCUGGGUUCAGAACGUCGUGAGACAGUUCGGUCCCUAUCCGUCGUGGGCGUAGGAAAUUUGAGAGGAGCUGUCCUUAGUACGAGAGGACCGGGAUGGACAUACCUCUGGUGUACCAGUUGUCGUGCCAACGGCAUAGCUGGGUAGCUAUGUGUGGACGGGAUAAGUGCUGAAAGCAUCUAAGCAUGAAGCCCCCCUCAAGAUGAGAUUUCCCAACUUCGGUUAUAAGAUCCCUCAAAGAUGAUGAGGUUAAUAGGUUCGAGGUGGAAGCAUGGUGACAUGUGGAGCUGACGAAUACUAA
rnacentral:rRNA from 1 species